GGACGAACGCUGGCGGCGUGCCUAACACAUGCAAGUCGAGCGAGGAGAUCCUUCGGGAUGAUCCUAGCGGCGGACGGGUGAGUAACACGUGGGCAACCUGCCUCAUAGAGAGGAAUAGCCUUCCGAAAGGGAGAUUAAUACCUCAUAACAUUGCAGUUUCGCAUGGAACAGCAAUUAAAGGAGCAAUCCGCUAUGAGAUGGGCCCGCGGCGCAUUAGCUAGUUGGUGAGGUAACGGCUCACCAAGGCGACGAUGCGUAGCCGACCUGAGAGGGUGAUCGGCCACAUUGGGACUGAGACACGGCCCAGACUCCUACGGGAGGCAGCAGUGGGGAAUAUUGCACAAUGGGGGAAACCCUGAUGCAAGCAACGCCGCGUGAGUGAUGACGGCCUUCGGGUUGUAAAGCUCUGUCUUCAGGGACGAUAAUGACGGUACCUGAGGAGGAAGCCACGGCUAACUACGUGCCAGCCGCUGC
rnacentral:rRNA from 1 species